GGGACAACAGUUGGAAACGACUGCUAAUACCGCAUAAGCCCACGGAUCCGCAUGGAUCUGCGGGAAAAGGAUUUAUUCGCUCUAGGAUGGACUCGCGUCCAAUUAGCUAGUUGGUGAGGUAACGGCCCACCAAGGCGACGAUUGGUAGCCGGACUGAGAGGUUGAACGGCCACAUUGGGACUGAGACACGGCCCAGACUCCUACGGGAGGCAGCAGUGGGGGAUAUUGCACAAUGGGGGAAACCCUGAUGCAGCGACGCCGCGUGGAGGAAGAAGGUUUUCGGAUUGUAAACUCCUGUCGUUAGGGACGAUAAUGACGGUACCUAACAAGAAAGCACCGGCUAACUACGUGCCAGCAGCCGCGGUAAAACGUAGGGUGCAAGCGUUGUCCGGAAUUACUGGGUGUAAAGGGAGCGCAGGCGGACCGGCAAGUUGGAAGUGAAAACUAUGGGCUCAACCCAUAAAUUGCUUUCAAAACUGCUGGCCUUGAGUAGUGCAGAGGUAGGUGGAAUUCCCGGUGUAGCGGUGGAAUGCGUAGAUAUCGGGAGGAACACCAGUGGCGAAGGCGACCUACUGGGCACCAACUGACGCUGAGGCUCGAAAGCAUGGGUAGCAAACAGGAUUAGAUACCCUGGUAGUCCAUGCCGUAAACGAUGAUUAAUAGGUGUUGGAGGAUUGACCCCUUCAGUGCCGCAG
rnacentral:rRNA from 1 species